rnacentral:tmRNA from 1 species
GGGGCCGAUCCGGAUUCGACGUGGGUCGCGAAACAGUCAGGGCAUGCCGAGCACCAGUCAGCUCGUAAAUCCACUGGACAACCACAAACGCCAACGAAGACGUUUUCGCUCAACAGCCCGCCCUGCGUGCUGCCUAAAUGAGCUGCGGCACUGACUUGUCUUUGGGUCAGAUGGAGGGAGGCAACUCCCUAGGAGAGGUAACUCUUCGAACCAUGGCCGUAUCACUUAACAAAGAAUCGGCGUAUUCCGGGGUCUGACGGGGUACGUUUAAAUCACAUGACUCGCUUCGGUCCGGCCUGUCGACUGGCUAAGAUUCGAAGUUAAAUCCAAAUAGGUCGACUACGCAUGUAGAACUGCCUGCGGAGGGCUUGCGGACGGGGGUUCAAUUCCCCCCGGCUCCACCA